GGGGGCCCGCACAAGCAGCGGAGCAUGUGGUUUAAUUCGACGCAACGCGAAGAACCUUACCUGGGCUUGACAUGUGCCUGACCGCCCUGGAAACAGGGCUUCCCUUCGGGGCAGGUUCACAGGUGGUGCAUGGCUGUCGUCAGCUCGUGUCGUGAGAUGUUGGGUUAAGUCCCGCAACGAGCGCAACCCCCGUUGUAUGUUGCCAUCAUUUAGUUGGGGACUCAUACAAGACUGCCGGUGACAAACCGGAGGAAGGUGGGGAUGACGUCAAGUCAUCAUGCCCCUUAUGUCCAGGGCUACACACGUGCUACAUUGGCCGGUACAAAGGGUUGCGAUACCGCGAGGUGGAGCGAAUCCCACAAAGCCGGUCUCGGUUCGGAUUGGAGGCUGAAACUCGCCUCCAUGAAGGUGGAGUUGCUAGUAAUCCCAGAUCAGCAACGCUGGGGUGAAUACGUUCCCGGGCCUUGUACACACCGCCCGUCACACCACGAAAGCGGGCAACACCCGAAGCCGGUGACCCAACCCUCGGGAGGGAGCCGUCGAAGGUGGGACUCGUGAUUGGGGUGAAGUCGUAACAAGGUAACCGUAAGGGC
rnacentral:rRNA from 1 species